CCCCUAGAUGUUCUGGGCCGCACGCGCGCUACACUGAACAGUUCAACAAGUCUUAACCUUGGCCGAUAGGUCUGGGUAAUCUUUGAACGCUGUUCGUGAUUGGGAUAGACCUUUGCAAUUAUGGGUCUUCAACGAGGAAUUCCUAGUAAACGCAAGUCAUCAGCUUGCAUUGAUUACGUCCCUGCCCUUUGUACACACCGCCCGUCGCACCUACCGAUUGAAUGGCCCGGUGAAAUCUCGGGACGGCGGCUUGGUCGCUUGCGUCCGACUGCUGAAACUUGAUUAAACCAUAUCAUUUAGAGGAAGGUGAANUCGUANCA
rnacentral:rRNA from 1 species